AUGGUGCCCGUGGAUCCUGCUAUUCACCUGCAUCCAUGGUCCUCUAUGUCCUGUGGCGGCCGCCAUGGUUGUUCACUUGUCCCGGCCCUGGUGGCCGCGACAAAUGGCAUCUUCUUCCAGACCAGCGACAGCAAGCCAAGCCAGGGCAGGGUUGCCUUGCCGUUGCCGACUUGGAGCCUUCUGGAGCUUAAGGCUCAUCCAUGCCGAGCUAUGCGCUUCCUUCCAGCAGCAAUAUUCCCGUCCUGCCGCAAGACGCCGAGAAUGGCAGCCGGCAUGCAGGCCUGUGCGUUAUCGGACCGGCCGGCCACCCACUGA
rnacentral:rRNA from 1 species